UGAAGUUCGAGUUCUGCAAAAAGGAAUUGCAGUAAAACUGGGCAACUGCUAUGCUGCUGAUUUGCCAAGACUGCAUGUUAUUUAGGAAAUUAGGCUGAGACCUGCACAAACUGAUAUAAAUGGCAGUACUCCACAAUGCAAAAUUUCGUUUUCCUUUUCGAUUGAUCAUUUGUCAAGGCUAAAUUUUCCAUGCAAGCAUAUAAAAGGAAGCUCACUUCUGAAAUUCAGUUUACAUAUAAUUAUUUGCCUAAACUCAACAUGAGGAAAAAAAAAAUAGUGUCCAUUGCAAAUGUAAUUAUAAGUCGAUAAACAGAUGAAAGCAGCAGCAUAAAUAAUUAAAAAAAAAUCAACAACGGGAAACAUCAACAAACGUAUGAUAAAUUUAAUAAAAGUAGAUGAAUUAAAUUUGGGCAGUCCCUCACGGAAGUGAUAAAAGCAAUUAAUUUUUCAAAAACUUAAACCAAAAAUCUUCUUACAAGGGAAUGUUUUUGUCCACCCUCAAAAGCUGUCUUCUGCUGAUUUACAGCCUCAGUAUGGAGUAGAGAGAGAUUAUUAGUAGCAUUAAGGAAAUUUGUGAACAACUCUUUAUCGUUCUCAUCAACCACAGUGAUAUCCAUUUUGCGCUUCUGUGCCAUUUUUCAUUUCCCCAAUUAAUUUUCUUGCUUCUCUUGAAGACCCACAAAAAACCUGAACAUGGCUCGCGUAAGAAUCAACACGAUGCAGAUAUCGUGUUUAAUGUGAGUUUGAGAAUAUGUAUAGUAACCAAAUUAUAAUCAUACUAUCUCUCACUCUCUCUUUUUUCUCCUCAUGGUAUGUGAGAAUACUUGUGAGGGGAUAAGUAUCAGCAGGUUUC
rnacentral:lncRNA from 1 species